rnacentral:rRNA from 1 species
CGUUGAGAAGUUCGUUGUGCAAAUCAAUGUAUCUUGAAAAUUAAAUCUUAUUAGUUAAGUUAAUAAUUGUGUUGUUACUGGCAGUAAUAAAAUUAUUUUUAAAUUUCAUUUUUUUAGUAGAGUGAAUCGAAAAAAAUAUAUAAGAGUUAUAGAGUAAAGUACUGUAAAGGAAAGAUGAAAUAUAUUGAAAAUUGAAUUUAUAUAAAGUAAAGUUAAAAACUUGUACCUUGUGUAUUAGGGAAAAUUAAAAUAAGCUUAAUAAAAGAGGAAUCCCGAAAGAGAAAGAGCUAAUAUAAAUAUGUAGUUUUCGUCUUAAUGAAAUUAUAAAGUUUAUGUUAGUAGUGAAAUGCUAGCCGAUUUUUCAUAUCUGGUUAUUGGUGAAUUAAAUUAAAUUUAAUUAUCUAGUGGUAUAAUAAAGCUAUAAGAUAGUAAAGAGUAGGAGGGAAAAGCUUCUUAUUCUAAAAUAGGUGAAUCAUGAUAAAAGAAAAAAGAGAAUAUUGUUGAAUUAGGCUUAAAAACAGCCAUAUU